UUUACGGAGAGUUUGAUCCUGGCUCAGGAUGAACGCUGGCGGCGUGCUUAACACAUGCAAGUCGAACGGUGAAAGCGGAGCUUGCUCUGCUGGAUCAGUGGCGAACGGGUGAGUAACACGUGAGCAAUCUGCCCUUGACUCUGGGAUAAGCGCUGGAAACGGCGUCUAAUACCGGAUACGAGCUGCGAAGGCAUCUUCAGCAGCUGGAAAGAACUUCGGUCAAGGAUGAGCUCGCGGCCUAUCAGCUUGUUGGUGAGGUAACGGCUCACCAAGGCGUCGACGGGUAGCCGGCCUGAGAGGGUGACCGGCCACACUGGGACUG
rnacentral:rRNA from 1 species